rnacentral:rRNA from 1 species
GCGUGCGGGAAGAAGGCCUUCGGGUUGUAAACCGCUUUUGUCAGGGAAGAAACGAGUUUCUCUAAUACAGAGACUUAAUGACGGUACCUGAAGAAUAAGCACCGGCUAACUACGUGCCAGCAGCCGCGGUAAUACGUAGGGUGCAAGCGUUAAUCGGAAUUACUGGGCGUAAAGCGUGCGCAGGCGGUUAUGCAAGACAGAGGUGAAAUCCCCGGGCUCAACCUGGGAACUGCCUUUGUGACUGCAUAGCUAGAGUACGGCAGAGGGGGAUGGAAUUCCGCGUGUAGCAGUGAAAUGCGU